AGCCUCAUCCACCAGGUCCCUGCUUACGUUAUGUUUUGAUGUAUCCUGUGGGGUUUUCUCUUGGUAGGUGUGCACAGGAUUGUAGCUCUCCAGGGUGAUCCCACACAUGUCCACUCGGAAGUGCAUCCCAGUGGGUUCAGUGGUCUUCCCCUUCUCCAUUGUUAGUCUGGAACACCCCAUCAAGGAAAGGAGACGAGCAGCGCAGCAGUGAGACGGGGGACGCGUGCAGGGAGGUGGCCAGUUGAAUGUAAUGGAAGCAGAUCGCUUACACCAGUGUCCUCCGACUUGACGCUCCCAGACAUGUUCGGCUACAGCUUCCUAGCUCAGGGACGGACAGCAUCCUGCAGGGUGGGCCUGCUUCCCAGUUUGCACAUGCCGCUUGUCGCAGCACAGCAUAUUCAGGGGCCACCAGGGCUGAUUUCAACUGAGAAUCCCCC